UUGGAGGGCAAGUCUGGUGCCAGCAGCCGCGGUAAUUCCAGCUCCAAUAGCGUAUAUUAAAGUUGUUGCAGUUAAAAAGCUCGUAGUUGAAUUUCGGGGUUAGUAGGUUGGUCAUGCCUCUGGUAUGUACUGGUCUCACUGAUUCCUCCUUCCUUAUGAACCGUAUGCCAUUAAUUUGGUGUUGCGGGAAUUUGGACUGUUACUUUAGAAAAAUUGAGUGUUUAAAGCAAGCUAACGCUUGAAUACAUUAGCAUGGAAUAAUGAAAUGGGUACG
rnacentral:rRNA from 1 species